UGCGCAAUGGAGGGAACUCUGACGCAGUGACGUCGCGUAUAGGAAGAAGGUUUUCGGAUUGUAAACUAUUGUCGUUAGGGAAGAAAAAAGACAGUACCUAAGGAGGAAGCCCCGGCUAACUAUGUGCCAGCAGCCGCGGUAAUACAUAGGGGGCAAGCGUUAUCCGGAAUUAUUGGGUGUAAAGGGUGCGUAGACGGGUGUUUAAGUUGGUUGUGAAAUCCCUCGGCUCAACUGAGGAACUGCAACCAAAACUGGAUAUCUUGAGUGUCGGAGAGGAAAGUGGAAUUCCUAGUGUAGCGGUGAAAUGCGUAGAUAUUAGGAGGAACACCAGUGGCGAAGGCGACUUUCUGGACGAUAACUGACGUUGAGGCACGAAAGUGUGGGGAGCAAACAGG
rnacentral:rRNA from 1 species